GCUGGGAACCAUCAAGUUAUUGAGGCCACACAGGGGGCAGAAAGACAGAGAGAAGAUGCUGGACAAGGUCCAGGUCUUGGGCAAGUUCCUUAUAUUUGGCCUGAACAAAUUAGACUCAACUGAAGAGAAAUAGUCCCAGACACAGAGUGAGAGGAACAGUGCAAACCGUAUGGGAAGCUGGGUACAGGAACAAGGUUAAAAGAUGUCCAUUUUGGAUUUUAAAAUUCUUUCACAGUGAUAAAGUAUGCAUUCAGGCAGCUCU
rnacentral:lncRNA from 1 species